rnacentral:rRNA from 1 species
GCCCCAGACUCCUACGGGAGGCAGCAGUGAGGAAUAUUGGUCAAUGGGCGAGAGCCUGAACCAGCCAAGUCGCGUGAGGGAAGACGGUCCUACGGAUUGUAAGCCUCUUUUGUCAGGGAGCAAGGAGCGCCACGAGUGGUGCGGCGAGAGUACCUGAAGAAAAAGCAUCGGCUAACUCCGUGCCAGCAGCCGCGGUAAUACGGAGGAUGCGAGCGUUAUCCGGAUUUAUUGGGUUUAAAGGGUGCGCAGGCGGAGGCACAAGUCAGCGGUAAAAUCGCGGGGCUCAACCCCGCUCCGCCGUUGAAACUGUGUCCCUUGAGUGCGCGAAGGGUAGGCGGAAUGCGUGGUGUAGCGGUGAAAUGCAUAGAUAUCACGCAGAACUCCGAUCGCGAAGGCAGCCUACCGGCGCGCAACUGACGCUCAUGCACGAAAGCGUGGGUAUCGAACAGGAUUAGAUACCCUCGUAAUC